rnacentral:misc_RNA from 1 species
CGCACCUUGCGCUCAUGGGUCAUUCCCGUGAGCAUGCUUGUUUGAGUGUCGCGUACCUCUCAACCCCGUCUUUUUCGGAAGGUAGACUUUAGGGUUUGGAUCAUGACGCCUUGUCUCUUUGCUUGCAUCGAGACUGCGUUGAAAUGCAAAAAGCUGUAUCUUGUUACUUGGCGGCUUGACCUGUUGUCAUAAGUUUCACUUUCAACGGGGACGCUAGUAGGAAUGAGCUUACCAUAAAAGGCCCUCGGGCCCCUUUUAUACUUUGACCUCAAAUCAAGUAGGACUACCCGCUGAACUUAA